rnacentral:rRNA from 1 species
AUACGGAGGGUGCGAGCGUUAAUCGGAAUUACUGGGCGUAAAGCGUGCGUAGGCGGUUUGCUAAGUCAGAUGUGAAAGCCCCGGGCUUAGCCUGGGAACUGCAUUUGAUACUGGCAGACUAGAGUAUGAUAGAGGGGGGUAGAAUUCCUGGUGUAGCGGUGAAAUGCGUAGAUAUCAGGAGGAAUACCAGUGGCGAAGGCGGCCCCCUGGAUCAAUACUGACGCUGAGGUACGAAAGCGUGGGGAGCGAACAGGAUUAGAAACCCCAGUAGUCC